UACGAAGGGGGCUAGCGUUGCUCGGAAUGACUGGGCGUAAAGGGCGCGUAGGCGGAAUGCUUUGUCGGGCGUGAAAUUCCAGGGCUCAACCUUGGGGCUGCGUUCGAGACGGGUAUUCUUGAGUUCGGAAGAGGGUCGUGGAAUUCCCAGUGUAGAGGUGAAAUGCGUAGAUAUCUGGAGGAACACCGGUGGCGAAGGCGGCAUCCUGGACCGAUAUUGACGCUGAUGCGCGAAAGCCAGGGGAGCAAACGGG
rnacentral:rRNA from 1 species